AGUGAACGCUGGCGGUAGGCCUAACACAUGCCAGUCGAACGGCAGCACAGUAAGAGCUUGCUCUUACGGGUGGCGAGUGGCGGACGGGUGAGGAAUACAUCGGAAUCUACUUUUUCGUGGGGGAUAACGUAGGGAAACUUACGCUAAUACCGCAUACGACCUACGUGUGAAAGCAGGGGAUCUUCGGACCUUGCGCGAUUGAAUGAGCCGAUGUCGGAUUAGCUAGUUGGCGGGGUAAAGGCCCACCAAGGCGACGAUCCGUAGCUGGCCUGAGAGGAUGAUCAGCCACACUGGAACUGAGACACGGUCCAGACUCCUACGGGAGGCAGCAGUGGGGAAUAUUGGACAAUGGGCGCAAGCCUGAUCCAGCCAUACCGCGUGGGUGAAGAAGGCCUUCGGGUUGUAAAGCCCUUAUGUUGGGAAAGAAAAGCAGCAGGUUAAUACCCCGCUGUUCUGACGGUACCCAAAGAAUAAGCACCGGCUAACUUCGUG
rnacentral:rRNA from 1 species